CCUACGGGGGGCUGCAGUGGGGAAUAUUGGGCAAUGGGCGCAAGCCUGACCCAGCAACGCCGCGUGAAGGAAGAAGGCUUUCGGGUUGUAAACCUCUGUCAGCAGGGAAGAACGGUCACUGUGCUAAUCAGCAGUGAAUUGACGGUACCUGCAAAGGAAGCACCGGCUAACUCCGUGCCAGCAGCCGCGGUAAUACGGAGGGUGCGAGCGUUAAUCGGAAUUACUGGGCGUAAAGCGCUCGUAGGCGGUAUGUCAAGUCAAGGGUGAAAUCCCCGCGCUCAACGUGGGAACUGCCUUUGAAACUGGCAAACUGGAGUGUGUGAGAGGAUAGUGGAAUUCCAGGUGUAGGAGUGAAAUCCGUAGAUAUCUGGAGGAACAUCAGUGGCGAAGGCGACUAUCUGGCACAUAACUGACGCUGAGGAGCGAAAGCGUGGGUAGCAAACAGGAUUAGAUACCCUUGUAGUC
rnacentral:rRNA from 1 species